AACAACUUAAACAAAAGUCGGCUAUAUAAGAAGACCUUCUUGAGCCGGAUAUGAAUCAUCCAUUCCUAUUUUCUCUGAUUCAUCAUCAAUCUCUCAAAAACCCUAAUUAAAUCCCUCACAUGAUUUCUCUCUUUCAAGCCUUUUUAGUGGAAGAUUUGCGCUGUUUCCCGAUUUAAGAUUUUGUGGCUCAAAAUUUCUUCAGCAACAUGGCUUCCAAUCUCCCGAUGAGCCCUUGAUUGGAUCAUGUCCAUGGCAAUAUCCAUGACCAUUUGCGAGCCCUCAUAGGUUGGAGUUACUAUACAGCAAUAUUUUCGAGCAAAAAAACUGUUCACUGGAGAAGAAGAAAGAGAAGCCUCGAGCACACAUCACUCAGAUUCACGCUGCUCGCUGGUGUGGCUACAGCUGUUGCUGCCAUAUCUUCAAGCUCCGUGAAGGAUGAGCAGAUGGCUAAAACCGAUGCAGAUUUAGCAACUUCCAGUGUAGCCACAUGUUUAGUAAGUUCAAAAAUCUGUAUUUGGGUAUUUUAG